GCAGACUACCAGAUGCGCAAUGUUAACGUGAGAUCGGUCAACUCUAAACGAAGGAAAACACCCUCCUCUUCCUGCUUCUGCACAGAUUCCACAACGCGGAACAUGCAAGAGGAAAGACGAGAUGGCGAAUCAGGCAGAACACCAACAGGCCGCCCCCAAGAAACCGCGGCUAGUUUUCACAGACCUUCAGCGCCGUACUCUACAGGCUAUUUUUAAAGAGACUAAGAGACCGUCAAAGGAGAUGCAGGUGACAAUCGCGAGGCAGCUGGGCCUGGAACCGACGACGGUCGGAAAUUUCUUCAUGAACGCCCGGCGCCGCUCCAUGGACAAGUGGAAGGACGAGGACCCGAAAACGGUGGUCGCGGUCGAAGAGGGACAAUUAUCGCCCACGAUAGGUAUCGGCCAGCGUCAGUCGAGCGACGUUUUGUGACACACGUCCGACCACGAGGAGUAUCACGACGAGUCGCCUGACGAGGACCUGCCCUUCACGUAAGGGCGGCGUACUCCGGAUCCUCGUGGACGUACCUUGCCGACGCGUUCGAUUUUGUUCGAAAAAAGAAGAGAGGGAGCAAAGCGGCUUUUCGGGAGGAAUUUUAUGCUAGUCUUUGUGCUACUGAUAUUUGUAUAAUUAUUGGAUAUUCGCGAUGAAUAAUCUUUAGAAUGUUAAAUUAUAUUAUUUAUUUAUUAAGUUUAUGUAUGAAAGGAAAUUUAAAUUCGAAAUAUUUCGGAAAA